AACUAUGGCUAUACUACCCUGAAUGCACCUGAUCUUGUCUGCUCUUGGAAGCUAAGCAGGGUUGGGCCUGGUUGGUACUUGGGUGGGAGACAUUAUUUUAAUUCUUCCUGUGCGUGUAGAUU
rnacentral:rRNA from 1 species